GACGAACGCUGGCGGUGUGCUUAACACAUGCAAGUCGAGCGGAAAGGCCCUUUUGGGGGUACUCGAGCGGCGAACGGGUGAGUAACACGUGAGUAAUCUGCCCUUCACUUGGGGAUAACUCCGAGAAAUCGGUGCUAAUACCCGAUAUGACCUGCGCCUGCAUGGGGGUGUGUGGAAAGGUUUUUCGGUGGGGGUUGUGCUCGCGGCCUAGCAGCUUGUUGGUGGGGUAAUGGCCUACCAAGGCUUCGACGGGUAGCCGGCCUGAGAGGGUGACCGGCCACACUGGGACUGAGACACGGCCCAGACUCCUACGGGAGGCAGCAGUGGGGAAUAUUGGACAAUGGGCGGAAGCCUGAUCCAGCAACGCCGCGUGAGGGAUGACGGCCUUCGGGUUGUAAACCUCUUUCAGCACCGACGAAGUUGUGCCUUUUUGGGUGUGGUGACGGUAGGUGCAGAAGAAGGACCGGCCAACUACGUGCCAGCAGCAGCCGCAG
rnacentral:rRNA from 1 species